rnacentral:rRNA from 1 species
CGUAAGUCUGAACCAGCCAAGUCGCGUGAGGGAAGACUGCCCUAUGGGUUGUAAACCUCUUUUAUAAGGGAAGAAUAAGUUCUACGUGUAGAAUGAUGCCUGUACCUUAUGAAUAAGCAUCGGCUAACUCCGUGCCAGCAGCCGCGGUAAUACGGAGGAUGCGAGCGUUAUCCGGAUUUAUUGGGUUUAAAGGGUGCGUAGGCGGUUUAUUAAGUUAGUGGUUAAAUAUUUGAGCUAAACUCAAUUGUGCCAUUAAUACUGGUAAACUUGAGUACAGACGAGGUAGGCGGAAUACGUUGAGUAGCGGUGAAAUGCUUAGAUAUCACGAAGAACUCCGAUUGCGAAGGCAGCUUACUAGACUGUAACUGACGCUGAUGCUCGAGAGCGUGGGUAGCGAACAGGAUUAGAUACCCUGGUAGUCCACGCCGUAAACGAUGCUCACUGGUUCUGUGCGAUAUAUUGUACGGGAUUAAGCGAAAGUAUUAAGUGAGCCACCUGGGGAGUACGCCGGCAACGGUGAAACUCAAAGGAAUUGACGGGGGCCCGCACAAGCGGAGGAACAUGUGGUUUAAUUCGAUGAUACGCGAGGAACCUUACCCGGGCUUAAAUGGGAAAUGCCGUAUUUGGAAACAGAUAUUCUCUUCGGAGCGUUUUUCAAGGUGCUGCAUGGUUGUCGUCAGCUCGUGCCGUGAGGUGUCGGGUUAAGUCCCAUAACGAGCGCAACCCUUACCGUUAGUUGCUAUCAGGUAAUGCUGAGCACUCUAACGGGGACACUGCCACCGUAAGGUGUGAGGAAGGCGGGGAUGACGUCAAAUCAGCACGGCCCUUACACCCGGGGCUACACACGUGUUACAAUGGCCGGUACAGAGGG